ACCCUCUUGGGGUCGCACCUGGAGAGUUUCCAGUACUCUACCAGUCUCGAAUGUGGGAGGGAGAGUCAAUCAGAGGCCUACCCAUUCCAUUCCUAGCUUGAGCAGUGGCUAGCGUGAGGAAGGCAAUCUGCUACAAGU